GCCGCUAGCCCGCACCCGCUCGCCAGGCCGCCUCGCCCGCGCCCUCGCCGGAGCUGCGCCCGCCGCCGACCACCUGAGCCGACCGCUGGAGCCGCGACCACCGAAGCCUCGACCCUCGCCCACCCCCGCCGGAGCCGCACCCGCCCCUGACCGCUGGAGCCACGACCGCCGGAGCUGCGACCGCCAGAGCUGCGACUGCCAGAGCUGCGACCGCCGGAGCCGCGCCCGCCCCUGACCGCCGGAGCCGCGCCCGCCCAGCUCGGCCCUCCCCGUCGGCCACAUCUUCGAUUGCAACUGGCCAAUCUACUCGGCAUCCGUACAUCUCUUGGCCUCCAUUGAAUAUUUCAUCAGUUCACUGAUGAUUGGAGAAGGUGCAUUUGGAUGUGUAUACAGAGGUGUCCUCAGAAACGUGACAGUUGAGUCACACAAAAAAAAACAUGACAGUUGCAAUAAAGGUGUUGAAACCUGAUACUUUGCAGGGAAGAUCACAGUUCGAGCAAGAGGUUGCUAUCCUGAGUAGGGUGAGGCACCCUCACCUUGUAACUCUAUUCGGAGCUCAGAAUCAUCUGCACUUGUCUAUGAGUUCUUGCCAAAUGGAAGUCUUGAAGAUUUUCUCGUCUGUGCAGAUAAAAGGAUGUCAUGAGUGAUCCACAUAUAUUGUGGCUGACGGAUUCACCUAUGAAGGCGAAGCCAUCAGGAUGUGACUCAACAGUAGCCAUGACACAUCUCCAAUGACCAACAUGCGACUAGAACACGACGAGCUCAUUCCCAAUUGCGCUCUUCGUUCCACCAUCCAGGAAUGUAAUCAGUCUCGUUGGCCGUGAUGAUACUUGUGUUUGUUAACGGUCUUCUAUUUGCACUUGUGGUUGUGAAUGAUGGAGAACUUGGAUUACUUGUGAAGUUAUUAUAAUAUAUUGUAACAUAUGACGUUUGUGAUGUGUUUGUGGUGCCUGGAUAUAUAUGUGGUGUUGAUGGUA